UUCAAGAUUUGGGGGGAUUUCUUUUGACAGUUGGCAAAUAAAUUGAGUCUCCUCUCUCCACACACUCCAAUGGUAAUAAAAUUGGAAAGAGAAGUUAGAUGCCAGCUAGCUCUAUUUACUCUCUCUUGGCCAACGGUAACAGAAGGAAGAAAAAGAGAUAAACCACAAAAACUCUCCCUUCACUGAGGCAAAAAAUCCCUUUUGACACUUUCUGAAAAAACAAAGAAAAAAAAGAAGAAAAAUAUCACUGUUCCUCUUCCUCACCAACGUCUCCACGCGACCCUUGCUGCCGUCCAAACGCCCCUUCACCCUCCUCCAUCCACAAACGCAACUCUCUUGUCCAUCCAGCGACCACCACAGCAACGUCGCCGGAACCACCCUUGCACCACCGUCGGAACGAGUCUGGCGGCCUAAGACUCCACCACCGCUUCAUGCCUCCGUUUCAUCAUUCUUUGUCAAUCCGACGCCACACCACUAGAAGCGGCUGAAAAGAGGAAAAGGGCAAAGAGGCAGAGCAAGAGGAAGAAGGUUGGAGAACGGAAAAGCUUGAAGCUUAAAGUUUGCCGGAUUAACUCAGGUAACGAGCAGUGAUUGAGUAGAAGCUAGUGCUUGGAGUCUAGUGUAGUCUCCUUAGUGGGUCAUGCUCUGAUAGAUGUAACAUCGGGACGGGAUGUUUUACCUUGUUGAAUAAUUUUACAUGUAAUGUGUUACAUGUUUUGGAUGAUUGA